rnacentral:rRNA from 1 species
UGAGGAAUAUUGCGCAAUGGGCGAAAGCCUGACGCAGCAACGCCGCGUGGGGGAUGAAGGUUCUCGGAUUGUAAACCCCUUUCGACCGGAACGAAUCUCCUCCUGGUAAAUAAUCAGGAGGAUCGACGGUAGCCGGGAGAAGAAGCCACGGCUAACUCUGUG